CAGGGCUGGGACUCCCUCAAACUGUUCCCUCACGGGGCUGGGACCCCUCUCACAGGGCAGGGACCCCCUCACAGAGCUGGGACCCACUCAAACUGUUCCCUCACGGGGCUGGGACCCCUCUCACAGGGCAGGGACCCCCUCACAGAGCUGGGAUCCACUCAAACUGUUCCCUCACGGGGCUGAGACCCCUCUCACAGGGCAGGGACCCCCUCACAGGGCUGAGACCCCUCUCACAGCGCAGCCCCUCAUAGCUGUUCCUUCACAGGGCUGGGACCUCCUCACAGAACUGCCCCUCACAGCUAUUCCCUCACGGCGCAGCCUCUCACGGGGCCGGGAUCCCCUCACAGCGCUGCCCCCUCGGCGCCGCUCCCCGCUGACAGCUGUUCCCUCAGAGCGCUGUCCCUCACAGGUGUCUCCCCACCGCAGGUUCGAAACGCCCGAGGCGGGAGCUAAAACUCCCGACCCGGCCUCUCGUCUCACGUUUUGAUCAGGCUGAGAGGGAAAUGAAGGAGGUUGUUCGGAGCAAAAAGAUCCAUGUGUGCCAGCUGUGAAAAAAAGGCCAACAACAAGGAAUGUGCACAGACAGUGUUGCAUAAGCUACUGUUAUACUGCUCACCAUGAACUUCUAGAUCAUUUUAUGUGGAAAGAAGAAGUUCUGAAAAUAUUCAGCCUAUUAAGGACUCAGUGGCAGAGAACUCUGCUCUUUUCCAAGGAGGGUUUUCACCAUGGCUCCUUGCAUGUUUCCAGCACUUAAUUGGGUAAAUGAACGUUUUUUCAACCAAGCCUGAAGAUCAUCAUCCUUCUCCAACUAAAUUGGAAGAGUUUGGUCACACCAAUGCCUCAGCCUUUGCCAAUGUGUUGAACACGAGGAGCACUUCUAAUUCCUCUCAGUUUGAAACCAAUCAACCCAAGUUGGAAAAGACACAGAGGAUGAUUAAUGGUACAGAGUUUUUUCUCAUGUGCAAAACCCCUCAGCCUGGAAAUGAAUGAUACAGAGAAUGAGAAUAGAAGUCUAACAGAAUAACACUGAGUGACAGAAGCUGGUGAAGUGAACAUGGUUGUUUCUUAAAAAAAAAAAAAAAAAAAACAAAACCAACAAAAACCCAAAAAUUUGCCUGGUUAUACUUUCUAUUUUCAAGCUCACAAUGGUGUAAUUAAAUACAGUAAUAGUCAAAUCCUUGAGGCAACAUUCCUUCUUCCUCCAGCUUUUCAAAUUAUACUCACAGUUCUGAGAGACAAAGAGUGUUAGUGUUCUAGGUUACCGUUAAGUCCAUUGCAUCAAAAUAUUAAAUGGCACAGCAACAAAAAAUACAAAUUUGACCCAGAUCAGAAAAUAGAGAUGGUCAUUAGUAAACAUCAUGUCUUGUCAUUGACAACUGGUGGGACACGGAGGGGUGGAGGAA